rnacentral:rRNA from 1 species
UACGGAGGGGGCUAGCGUUGCUCGGAAUCACUGGGCGUAAAGCGCACGUAGGCGGAUCUUUAAGUCAGGGGUGAAAUCCCGGAGCUCAACUCCGGAACUGCCUUUGAUACUGGAGAUCUUGAGUCCGGGAGAGGUGAGUGGAACUGCGAGUGUAGAGGUGAAAUUCGUAGAUAUUCGCAAGAACACCAGUGGCGAAGGCGGCUCACUGGGGGUUUUCUGACGCUGAGGAACGAAAGCCAGGGUAGCGAACGGG